rnacentral:rRNA from 1 species
CCCUCGCUGUCCGCGGAGGACAUU